rnacentral:precursor_RNA from 13 species
UGCUUUCUGACCACUCUUUGAUACUUGAAGAGAGGAUACCCUUUGUAUGUUCACUUUAUAAAUGGUGAAUAUACAGGGGGAGACUCUUAUUUGCGUAUCAAACUGUCUGGGAAAGUGCUC